GGAAUUUUUAAAGCUGUCCAUGUGAUUCCACUCUGCAGUCCCAGCUCAGAAUUCUGCUCCAGGAUCUCUGCAGACCUUGGGAAGAAGGGCUGAAGGAAGCCUUGCCCAGCAUUGUGCUCUGGGGGCCAGUGACCGGGCAGCACGUCUGGGGGCUCACCUCCAUCCCCCCUCACCUAACAACACUCUGUGCCGGGGUGCCUGGCCCACAUCUACAAAUGGGUCCACAGAUAACCUGGCGAUUAAAUAGGAUCCACCGAAUGUGGCAUUUGACUUGCCAUUUCUUACGAAGAAAUUGGCUGUGACAUGGGGGCAGUUUGUGUUUCUGGAGGAACUAGUCUCUGACUGAAGCAUUAAGAGGACCUGGACAAAGCCUGAGGCAGAAAGCCUCUUGGUAAGCUAAAGCACAUGUGUAU
rnacentral:lncRNA from 1 species